GGGUCGGAUCGGUCGGGUGCGGAUGGUCCAGGCGAGCUUCGGCUUCCGCGCCGGGCUGGAUCCCGCCAGCCGGCUGUUCGAUCCGGCCUUGGCCGG
rnacentral:tRNA from 1 species